rnacentral:lncRNA from 1 species
AUGGUGGUGGGAUGGACUUUUCUUUCACCCUGGAGGCUGAGUUCAGCGCCUGGCAGGGCCGUCGACCCCCCCAUGCAAGUUGCUCUAGCGUCUGGCAGGUUUCGUAAGGAGAAGACGAUGAGGGCACCAGGAGACGAGGAGAAGGAGCUGCAGAAGGUGACACCAGGCAAUGAGACGACCGAUCUGGACCAUGGUCCUGCAGUCCAAGGAGAUGUCAAACGGAUUGCAGGAAAUUCGUCUGCACAAUUACAUUCAGUGCAGCUGUGGAGGAUGGAGACAACAGACACCAUAGGACUACCUGGAGAGAAGUUGUCACCUGUGUGUAUAGAGGCUCAAUGCUCAUCCUUCGCCUCUUUGCUCCCUCCAGCCUCCGGUCCCCGACAGAGGGGAGCCUCCCAGUGCUAACCACAUAGAGGAAGUGUCUUUAUCACUGCCUCCCUCUGUGCUGCUGGGUUUGGGAGACUCUUCACAUAAUCAGUGGCUUUGACCUCCAUCUGUAAACAGAAGACAGUCAAGACAAGUCAUAUUCAUAAAUAAUUUGAAACAAAUUGUAAUAAAUACGUUUCAUGUUAAACCUCA